rnacentral:rRNA from 1 species
CGAGUCGAGAGCCUUUGGGGCUCGGCAUACUGCUCAGUAACACGUGGAUAACCUGCCCUAUUGUCUGGAAUAACCUCGGGAAACUGAGAACAAGGCCGGAUAGCCCACAAUGCCUGGAACGGUUUGUGGGUGAAGAUAGGAUGGGUCUGCGGCGUAUCAGGUCGUAGGGGGUGUAAUGGACCUCCUAGCCAUCGACGCGUACGGGUGUUGGGAGACAUAGCCCGGAGAUGGAUUCUGAGACACGAAUCCAGACCCUACGGGGUGCAGCAGGCGCGAAAACUUCACACUGCAUGAAACUGUGAUGAGGGAACUCCAAGUGCUAUCACUAUGUGGUAGCUUUUCUUAACUAUUAAUCGGUUUUGGAAUAAGGGCUGGGAAAGACCGGUGCCAGCCGCCGCGGUAAUACCGGCAGCUCAAGUGGUCGUCGCUUUUAUUGGGCCUAAAACGUCCGUAGCCUGUUUGGUAAAUCUGUGGGUAAAUCAACCAGCUUAACUGGUUGAAUUCUGCAGAGACUGCCAGACUAUGGACCGGGAGAGGUGUGGGGUACUCUAGGGGUAGGGGUAAAAUCCUGUCAUCCUUAGAGGACCACCAGUUGCCAAGGCGCCACACCUGGAACGGAUCCGACGGUCA